rnacentral:rRNA from 1 species
UACAGAGGUCUCAAGCGUUGUUCGGAUUCAUUGGGCGUAAAGGGUGCGUAGGUGGUGCUGUAAGUCAGGUGUGAAAUCUCGGGGCUCAACCCCGAAACUGCACUUGAUACUGCAGUGCUCGAGGACUGGAGAGGAGAUUGGAAUUCAUGGUGUAGCAGUGAAAUGCGUAGAUAUCAAGAGGAACACCAGUGGCGAAGGCGAGUCCCUGGACGAUACCUGACACUGAGGCACGAAAGCCAAGGGAGCAAACAGG